GAAAAUCGUAGCGUUGUGCAUCUCCCUACUGAUCUCUGCACACAUGUACUAUAGGGACGGGGUUACCCUUCCCUGGCACAUCUCCUCAUUGUUGGUGGCAGCCACAAGGAAAGGAAGGAAGGGUUACCCUUCCGCCUCAUCCACUCAGCUUGCUCAGUGGGUUGGGCCCAAGUUGUGGUCGCGAUAUGGUGUCUUCGAACCUCACGACGGGGACCUUGAGCACUCUUAGGGUACGCUAUGAGUCUUGCGUGCAGUCAUUCUAAUUAGGUGUUUAUCUUUCAAUGAGGUGUUUACAAGUACGGCAUAUUUGAGUACUUUCAUAUACUGGCACAUCUCAUUGGAGGAGGAUGUCAAAAGUAAAAGAAGGUACUUUGUCACAUAGGAUGUAAGAGGUGCUUACAUCGAAUACAUCCUGAGCUGUUGCUGAUCCAGGACGCCAAAAUGAUCUGUCAGAGAACACAUCGUCGUAUGGAGAUUCGGAAACAGUAUCGUAGGACUUAAGUUCUUUCUCUACUUGUUCCUGUAAAUAAAAAUUGUCAAGAUUGCAAACA